UGGGGAAUCUUGCACAAUGGGCGAAAGCUUGACGCAGCAACGCCGCGUGGGUGAUGAAGGCCUUCGGGUCGUAAAGCCCUGUCGGAGGGAACGAAUGAUCCUGAGGUUAACAGCCUCGGGAAGUGACGGUACCCUCAAAGGAAGCACCGGCUAACUCUGUGCCAGCAGCCGCGGUAAUACAGAGGGUGCAAGCGUUGUUCGGAAUCAUUGGGCGUAAAGAGCUCGUAGGCGGUUUGGUAAGUCGGAUGUGAAAUCUCCACGCUCAACGUGGAGGGGCCAUUCGGUACUGCCAUGACUAGAGUCCGGUAGAGGAAUGUGGAAUUCCCGGUGUAGCGGUGAAAUGCGCAGAGAUCGGGAGGAACACCCGUAGCGAAGGCGGCAUUCUGGGCCGGUACUGACGCUGAGGAUCGAAAGCGUGGGGAGCGAACAGGAUUAGAUACCCCAGUAGUCCACGCCGUAAACGAUGCAUACUAGGCAUUAGGAGAAUCGACCCUCCUAGUGUCGUAGCUAACGCGUUAAGUAUGCCGCCUGGGAAGUACGAGCGCAAGCUUA
rnacentral:rRNA from 1 species